UUAGAAUAUUUUUAAGAGGUAGGGUUGGAAAACACAGUCGAGGAAAAAUGUUUAGCGAUAAGUUUUGGAAAUCGUUUACGGAGGACUUUUAGGUUAUAGAUUUUCUGUUUGCGCAAGUUUGGUCCGUAAUCGAGAUGCGACUCGUCUGUGAGGCGAGGACUUUUAGAACCAUGAGGAAAAUAUCUUUUGUUGACAAGUCAAACUUGAUCCAUUGGCUAGGAAUUAACAAGGCUUUAGUUGCACAUUUGAUCCAAGGGCUAGGAAUGGCAAAGACCUUUGUAUAGUAAGGAGGUUUAGGCACUUAAAGGACUUAGAAAAAUCAGAUUUUCACUCCUCUUUUCCUCUUCAAAACCGUGAACCAUUCCCCUUCAUACUAUUCAUCACAAAAUUCUCAUUUCUUGACCAAAUCAUCUCAUCCAAAGCUAGUUGAAUCCUUGGAACUUGCAAGAGUAACAUCACUAAGGAAGCACGAAACGGUAGAUUAGUGCGAACGUUGUGGUUUUGUGUUGGAAGCUUAGCCGAGUCGAUGGAGCGUUACCUGAGGCCGUAAGUCG